AGUCGAUAAAAGGUCGGGUAUGGAAGAAAGUGCUGAGACGCGUGCAAGUUGUGCUCUUCUUAACCGGAGAAUUUUUAUUGAUAAAAACUAAGCUACGAGUAGACGUUAAAACGUUUGAUACGUUACGAACAGUUACCGUUUAAGAUGUGUCCGUAUCUUUAGGAUGAGAACGAUUGUAGAAUUCGUGCGAUACCACUGAGCGUAAAAACAAUUGCAAAGAUAAUGGAAGACUGAUAGCGAAGGCAACAUAGUGAAAAUAAAAAGCAAAUACCAUAGAAUACGCGAUGAAAGAGAGAUUAACGAAUGAGUUCGUAACAUAAUUGGUUAGUAAAUAAUUUUGUUAAUUUUGAAUCGAUAUAUUAUAAAGUAACAAAAGCAGAUAGAAUUUAAUUGAAUUCAAGCCAAAGUAAAUUUCUUAGCAAUUAAAUGCAAGAUAAAUAUUCGAGAAAAAAAGCGACAAUAGUUAAGGGUAAGAAUCAGUUAACAAUAGAAAAAAUGUCAAAAGGUUUUGCCAUAAGGCUAAACACGAUAUACGAUAUACUCGUAAAAGUGACAUAUCCAUCACCAUCGAUCUCGCUUCGUCCAAUAAAAGCCACGAAAAAUUCCUGGGCGAUGAAACUGCACCGAUCGAAGCUGAAGCUCGACACGACAAAUGGCCA